GACGGAGGGGGCAAGCGUUGUUCGGAAUUAUUGGGCGUAAAGGGCUCGUAGGCGGAUCUGUAAGUCUGACGUGAAAUCUCCACUGCUCAACAGGGAGAGGUCGCUGGAUACUGCAGAUCUGGAGUUCGGCAGAGGACCACGGAAUUCCAGGUGUAGUGGUGGAAUGCGCAGAUAUCAGGAGGAACACCAAUGGCGAAGGCAGAUCUCUGGGCCGUAACUGACGCUGAGGAGCGAAAGCAUGGGGAGCGAACAGG
rnacentral:rRNA from 1 species